UACGUAGGGUGCGAGCGUUGUCCGGAUUUAUUGGGCGUAAAGAGCUCGUAGGCGGCUUGGCAAGUCGGGUGUGAAACCUCCAGGCUUAACCUGGAGACGCCACUCGAUACUGCCAUGGCUAGAGUCCGGUAGGGGACCACGGAAUUCCUGGUGUAGCGGUGAAAUGCGCAGAUAUCAGGAGGAACACCGGUGGCGAAGGCGGUGGUCUGGGCCGGCACUGACGCUGAGGAGCGAAAGCGUGGGUAGCAAACAGG
rnacentral:rRNA from 1 species